GAGAACAAUGAGAUCUGGUGGCAUCUGAGUGGUUCUUAAUGACAUCCAUGUGAACAGAAAUCUGAGGUCAGA